GAGAGGUGUGUGGCCACUUGGAGAGGUGUGUGGGAACUUGGAGAGGUGUGUGGGAACUUGGAGAGGUGUGUGGGAACUUGGAGAGGUGUGUGGGAACUUGGAGAGGUGUGUGGCCACUUGGAGAGGUGUGUGGCCACUUGGAGAGGUGUGUGGCCACUUGGAGAGGUGUGUGGGAACUUGGAGAGGUGUGUGGGAACUUGGAGAGGUGUGUGGCCACUUGGAGAGGUGUGUGGGAACUUGGAGAGGUGUGUGGGAACUUGGAGAGGUGUGUGGGAACUUGGAGAGGUGUGUGGCCACUUGGAGAGGUGUGUGGGAACUUGGAGAGGUGUGUGGGAACUUGGAGAGGUGUGUGGCCACUUGGAGAGGUGUGUGGGAACUUGGAGAGGUGUGUGGGAACUUGGAGAGGUGUGUGGGAACUUGGAGAGGUGUGUGGGAACUUGGAGAGGUGUGUGGGAACUUGGAGAGGUGUGUGGGAACUUGGAGAGGUGUGUGGCCACUUGGAGAGGUGUGUGGCCACUUGGAGAGGUGUGUGGGAACUUGGAGAGGUGUGUGGGAACUUGGAGAGGUGUGUGGGAACUUGGAGAGGUGUGUGGGAACUUGGAGAGGUGUGUGGGAACUUGGAGAGGUGUGUGGCCACUUGGAGAGGUGUGUGGGAACUUGGAGAGGUGUGUGGGAACUUGGAGAGGUGUGUGGGAACUUGGAGAGGUGUGUGGGAACUUGGAGAGGUGUGUGGGAACUUGGAGAGGUGUGUGGCCACUUGGAGAGGUGUGUGGCCACUUGGAGAGGUGUGUGGGAACUUGGAGAGGUGUGUGGGAACUUGGAGAGGUGUGUGGAACUUGGA